GGGAGCGGGGCCGACACAGGACUGCAGUUGACAGCAGAUAACUGAAAGCUUGGAAAGUGAAACCGUGGAUAAGCAGGGGAACUGUGGCAUCCCAUUUAAAAUUGCUUCUGAAGAGAAGCAUGAGGUUACAUCUGUAAUCUCCCUGCAGCAGAGUCAACUGCAUAAGAAACCAAAAGACACAUCUGCUCCAUGCCAGCUUCGAUAAUUUCUUUGUACCUUCGGCGAAAGAAGCCCAUCUGAAAGGCAGAAAGAAAGAGGAGAAGCUGAGUUAGAAGUGCUGAAGAAUCAGCCAUUGUGACCCCAAGGCAGCCUGUCCCUGGCCUAAGCCACCACAUAAAAAGUCAGACCAUCUGCUGGAAGAACCACAUGGAGAGGCCCUGAGUCGACAUGGAGAGGAAGAAGGACUUGAUUGAAUCCAGCCUUCCAGCUGUCCCUACCAAGGUGCCAGGCACGAGAAUGAAGCUGUCUUGGACUCUGAAGACCAGCUUAGCCACCAGGUAAAUGCCACUAAGUGACCUCACUCAAUGUCAUGUGGGAUGGAAGAAUCACCCAGCCAAACCCUUCCUGGAUCCCUGACCCAGAAAUUUGUCAGAUGUAAUGGUUGUGUAAAGCCACUCAAUUUGGGGGCAGUUUGUAUGCAGCAUAGCUAGCUGGUAUGAUACAACAGCCUGCAAUUCAGGCAGCAGCAGCACUAACAACCAUGAA
rnacentral:antisense_RNA from 1 species